rnacentral:rRNA from 1 species
UGCCAGCCGCCGCGGUAAUACGGAGGGUGCGAGCGUUAAUCGGAAUUACUGGGCGUAAAGCGCACGCAGGCGGUUUGUUAAGCUAGUUGUGAAAUACCUGGGCUCAACCGAGGGAUUGCAAUUAAAACUGGACAUCUAGAGUGCGGUAGAGGGAAGUGGAAUUUCUAGUGUAGCGGUGAAAUGCGUAGAUAUUAGAAAGAACACCAGUGGCGAAGGCGGCUUCCUGGACUGACACUGACGCUGAGGCACGAAAGCAUGGGUAGCGAACAGGAUUAGAUA